CAGAGAUUUUCCCUCACUGCACUCAUAUCAUUCCUACAUUGAAAAAAACCUACUCUCCUGCCAAAUACAUACAGGCAGAGAGUUUCAGACACAACUUCAAAACCAGAGAGGAGCCUCUCCAAGGAACUGACAGAUGCAAGCCUGAUCCGUUUCCUCACUUUCUUUCGCUAUAAACAAUCCCUAUCAAGAAUCCGCAGCCCAAACGGACUAAGACAUAAGCCGAGAUCCAAAGGAUAAGAAGCAGCAAGCCAGGCACACCUUGGAGACGUCGCGGAAUAAGUUCAAGACCACUGCAAUAAAGCAAGUAAUGCAAUAAAGCC